GCCUGUUAAUUCAAAAUGACUAAUUUUAAAACAUUGAUUACCAUAGUGAAACAAAAUGUAACUGUAAAAACUGUGUAACAUUUGAUGCAUAUAAUCAAUUACUGAUAUUGUUUAUUACAGAAAUGUACCACGUGAUGCAGUAGCCUGUUGAUGCUGGCAAAAGAUGCAAUCUGGAGGAUUUCAGGAGAUGGCUCUUGCUCACUGGCAGUGACUUGGGUCAUACGAGACAGCAUCAGAGCUCGGGUGACAUCUCUCGCUCGGGUGAAAUCUCUCCUGGAAGAUUUCAAGGUGUGUGCAGAGUUCUGAAGAAUAAAAGUCAACAGUCAAGUUCUUCUCCAUAUUCUCCAAAUCUGACGGAGGCGUUCCAUCAGGAAAGGGGGAAUGGUUGGUCGAUGCCUCCAGAAUAAUGAUACCCAUGACCCAGGCACAACAUGCUGACAGGGAAUCGGCUAUGGCAGAAAGCAUCCAUGCCAUCUACGUGAUCCGCCAUGAAGGUUCAGAAGCUACUGACAGUCCUGAGGACAUCGGAAUCAUUUUCAAAGGGGUGACUGCAUUUGGCUGCUUGCCAAACAUCCUACCCAGGCUCCGCCCUCGCAGUGACGCAACACCUUCGGCUCUGCUACACACACUCAGGAAAACUUUGUUCAGGUACUUUCAGGUUCCCUCCACAGCAGGAAACUCCACCCACUUUGUCGGGAAGCAAUCAACUUUCAGCAUUACCAACCGUCCUGG